rnacentral:rRNA from 1 species
UACGGGGGGGGCAAGCGUUGUUCGGAAUUACUGGGCGUAAAGGGCUCGUAGGCGGCCAACUAAGUCCGACGUGAAAUCCCAAGGCUUAACCUUGGAACUGCGUCGGAUACUGGAUGGCUUGAAUUCGGGAGAGGGAUGUAGAAUUCCAGGUGUAGCGGUGAAAUGCGUAGAUAUCAGGAGGAACACCGGUGGCGAAGGCGGGUCUCUGGGCCGAUACUGACGCUGAGGAGCGAAAGCGUGGGGAGCAAACAGG